rnacentral:rRNA from 1 species
UAAGGAAUAUUGCGCAAUGGGGGGAAACCCUGACGCAGCAACGCCGCGUGGAGGAUGACACUUUUCGGAGCGUAAACUCCUUUUAUCAGGAAAGAAUAAUGACGGUACCUGAUGAAUAAGCACCGGCUAACUCCGUGCCAGCAGCCGCGGUAAUACGGGGGGUGCAAGCGUUACUCGGAAUCACUGGGCGUAAAGGACGCGUAGGCGGAUUAUCAAGUCUUUUGUGAAAUCUAGUGGCUUAACCACUAAACUGCUUAGGAAACUGAUAGUCUAGAGUAGGGGAGAGGUAGAUGGAAUUCUUGGUGUAGGGGUAAAAUCCGUAGAGAUCAAGAAGAAUACCCAUUGCGAAAGCGAUCUGCUGGAACCUAACUGACGCUGAGGCGUGAAAGCGUGGGUAGCAAACAGG